UACAGAGGGUGCAAGCGUUAAUCGGAAUUACUGGGCGUAAAGAGUGCGUAGGCGGUUAUAUAAGUUAGAUGUGAAAGCCCUAGGCUUAACCUGGGAACUGCGUUUAAUACUGUAUAGCUAGAGUACUAAAGAGGUUAGUGGAAUUUCCAGUGUAGCGGUGAAAUGCGUAGAUAUUGGAAGGAACACCAGUGGCGAAGGCGGCUAACUGGUUAGAUACUGACGCUAAGGCACGAAAGCGUGGGGAGCAAACAGG
rnacentral:rRNA from 1 species